GGUCCAUGAUGCAUGGUGAAAGGGCUGACUGCCCAGUCCCCUCCCGGCACCCCUACAUUCCCAGCCAUCUCUGUCUGACAGGCAGAGACGCCCCAUUCUGUGUCUUGCUAGCUCAGAGGGCACCACAGUUGGCAUCUGACAGCUUCAUCACAAAGGGAUGUGCGUGUCGGGAGUGCCCAUCCGUACCGGUGGUGUGACCUGACCUUUGACGCUGAGACC
ensembl:scaRNA small Cajal body-specific RNA 6